rnacentral:rRNA from 1 species
CCUGCCGGAGGCUAUUGCUAUCGGGGUCCGAUUCAGCCAUGCUAGUUGUACGGGUUUAGACCCGUAGCAAAUAGCUCCGUAACACGUGGUCAAACUACCCUCUGGACCGGAAUACCCUCGGGAAACUGAGGCUAAUUCCGGAUACUGCUUUCAUGUUGGAACACAGAAAGUCGGAAACGGUCCGCCGCCGGAGGACGUGACUGCGGCCGAUUAGGUAGACGGUGGGGUAACGGCCCACCGUGCCGAUAAUCGGUACGGGUUGUGAGAGCAAGAACCCGGAGACGGUAUCUGAGACAAGAUACCGGGCCCUACGGGGCGCAGCAGGCGCGAAACCUUUACACUGCACGCCAGUGCGAUAAGGGGACCCCGAGUGCGAGGGCAUACAGUCCUCGCUUUUCGUGACCGUAAGAAGGUCUCAGAAUAAGAGCUGGGCAAGACCGGUGCCAGCCGCCGCGGUAAUACCGGCAGCUCGAGUGAUAGCCACUAUUAUUGGGCCUAAAGCGUCCGUAGCCGGCCGAACAGGUCCGUCGGGAAAUCCACCCGCUCAACGGGUGGACGUCCGGCGGAAACCAGUCGGCUUGGGGCCGGGAGACCAGAGAGGUACGUCCGGGGUAGGAGUGAAAUCCCGUAAUCCUGGACGGACCGCCGGUAGCGAAAGCGUCUCUGGAGAACGGACCCGACGGUGAGGGACGAAAGCUUGGGUCUCGAACCGGAUUAGAUACCCGGGUAGUCCAAGCUGUAAACGAUGCUCGCUAGGUGUGGCGUUGGCUACGAGCCAGCGCUGUGCCGUAGGGAAGCCGAGAAGCGAGCCGCCUGGGAAGUACGUCCGCAAGGAUGAAACUUAAAGGAACUC